AUUGAACGCUGGCGGCAUGCCUAACACAUGCAAGUCGAACGGCAGCACAGUAGAGACUUCGGUCUUUAUGGGUGGCGAGUGGCGGACGGGUGAGUAAUGCGUAGGAAUCUGUCCUGGAGCGCGGGAUAACCCGAGGAAACUCGGGCUAAUACCACAUGACAUCGAGAGAUCAAAAGCAGGGGACCGAAGGGCCUUGCGCUCUGGGGUGAGCCUACGUCGGAUGAGCUAGUUGGUGGGGGAAGAGCCUACCAAGGCGACGAUCCGUAGCUGGUCUGAGAGGAUGACCAGCCACACUGGGACUGAGACACGGCCCAGACUCCUACGGGAGGCAGCAGUGGGGAAUCUUGGACAAUGGGGGAAACCCUGAUCCAGCGAUGCCGCGUGUGUGAAGAAGGCCUUCGGGUUGUAAAGCACUUUAGGUGGGGAAGAAAGGUAAUGGGCGAAUAACUCAUUGCUAUGACGGUACCCGCAGAAUAAGCACCGGCUAACUCUGUGCCAGCCGCCGCAGUAA
rnacentral:rRNA from 1 species